UACGGAGGGUGCGAGCGUUGUCCGGAUUUAUUGGGUUUAAAGGGUGCGUAGGUGGCUAAUUAAGUCAGUGGUGAAAUACAGCCGCUCAACGGUUGAGGUGCCAUUGAUACUGAUUAGCUUGAAAUAAUUGGAGGCUGCCGGAAUGGAUGGUGUAGCGGUGAAAUGCAUAGAUAUCAUCCAGAACACCGAUUGCGAAGGCAGGUGGCUACGAUUGAUUUGACACUGAGGCACGAAAGCAUGGGGAGCAAACAGG
rnacentral:rRNA from 1 species